rnacentral:rRNA from 1 species
CGGCCGCGGGAAUUCGAUUAGAGUUUGAUCAUGGCUCAGAGCGAACGCUGGCGGCAGGCAUAACACAUGCAAGUUGAGCGGGCGUAGCAAUACGUCAGUGGAAGACGGGUGAGUAACGCGUGGGAACGUACCUUUUGGUUCGGAACAACCCAGGGAAACUUGGGCUAAUACCGGAUAAGCCCUUACGGGGAAAGAUUUAUCGCCAGAAGAUCGGCCCGCGUCUGAUUAGCUAGUUGGUGAGGUAAUGGCUCACCAAGGCGACGAUCGGUAGGUGGUCUGAGAGGACGAUCACCCAGACUGGGACUGAGACACGGCCCAGACUCCUACGGGAGGCAGCAGUCGGGAAUUUUGCUCAAUGGGCGAAAGCCUGAAGCAGCAACGCCGCGUGAGGGAUGAAGGCCUUCGGGUCGUAAACCUCUUUUGCCGGGGACGAUAAUGACGGUACCCGGUGAAUAAGCCACGGCUAACUACGUGCCAGCAGCCGCGGUAAUACGAAUCACUAGUGAAUUCGCGGCCGCCUGCAGGUCGACCAUAUGGGAGAGCUCCC